rnacentral:rRNA from 1 species
GACGAACGCUGGCGGCGUGCUUAACACAUGCAAGUCGAACGAAGAGCGAUGGAAGCUUGCUUCCAUCAAUCUUAGUGGCGCACGGGUGAGUAACGCGGAAUCAACCUGCCCUUCAGAGGGGGACAACAGUGGGAAACGACUGCUAAUACCGCAUACGAUCUAAUCUCGGCAUCGAGGAUAGAUGAAAGGUGGUCUCUACACGUAUGCUAUCACUGAAGGCGGGUAUUCGAUCUGGUUAGCUAGGUGGUGGGGUAAGGGCCUAACAAAGCGAUGAUCCGUAGCCGGUCUGGAAGGGUGAACCGCCACAUUGGGACUGAGACAAGGCCCAGACCUCUAAGGGGGGCAGCCGUGGGGGAUCUUCCGCAAUGGGCGAAAGUCUGACGGGACAACGCCGCGUGGGUGAUGAAGGCCUUCGGGUUGUAAAACUCUGUUAAUCGGGAAGGAAGGCAUUCUUGCGAAUAGUGGCACGGAUUGACGGUACCGGAACAGAAAGCCACGGCUAACUACGUG